rnacentral:rRNA from 1 species
AGUGAACGCUGGCGGUAGGCCUAACACAUGCAAGUCGAACGGCAGCACAGUAAGAGCUUGCUCUUACGGGUGGCGAGUGGCGGACGGGUGAGGAAUACAUCGGAAUCUACUUUUUCGUGGGGGAUAAUGUAGGGAAACUUACGCUAAUACCGCAUACGACCUACGGGUGAAAGCAGGGGAUCUUCGGACCUUGCGCGAUUGAAUGAGCCGAUGUCGGAUUAGCUAGUUGGCGGGGUAAAGGCCCACCAAGGCGACGAUCCGUAGCUGGUCUGAGAGGAUGAUCAGCCACACUGGAACUGAGACACGGUCCAGACUCCUACGGGAGGCAGCAGUGGGGAAUAUUGGACAAUGGGCGCAAGCCUGAUCCAGCCAUACCGCGUGGGUGAAGAGGGCCUUCGGGUUGUAAAGCCCUUUUGUUGGGAAAGAAAAGCAGCAGGUUAAUACCCCGCUGUUCUGACGGUACCCAAAGAAUAAGCACCGGCUAACUUCGUG